GACGAACGCUGGCGGCGUGCUUAACACAUGCAAGUCGAACGAUGAAGCCAGCUUGCUGGUGGAUUAGUGGCGAACGGGUGAGUAACACGUGGGUGAUCUGCCCCAAACUUUGGGAUAAGCCUGGGAAACUGGGUCUAAUACCGAAUAUGACCGAUACUCGCAUGGGUGUUGGGGGAAAGCUCCGGCGGUUUGGGAUGGGCCCGCGGCCUAUCAGCUUGUUGGUGGGGUAAUGGCCUACCAAGGCGGCGACGGGUAGCCGGCCUGAGAGGGCGACCGGCCACACUGGGACUGAGACACGGCCCAGACUCCUAUGGGAGGCAGCAGUGGGGAAUAUUGCACAAUGGGCGCAAGCCUGAUGCAGCGACGCCGCGUGAGGGAUGACGGCCUUCGGGUUGUAAACCUCUUUCACCAGGGACGAAGCGAAAGUGACGGUACCUGGAGAAGAAGCACCGGCUAACUACGUG
rnacentral:rRNA from 1 species